rnacentral:rRNA from 1 species
UACGUAGGGUGCAAGCGUUGUCCGGAAUUAUUGGGCGUAAAGAGCUCGUAGGCGGUUCGUCGCGUCGGCUGUGAAAUCCCGGAGCUCAACUCCGGGUCUGCAGUCGAUACGGGCGGACUUGAGUUCGGCAGGGGAGACUGGAAUUCCUGGUGUAGCGGUGAAAUGCGCAGAUAUCAGGAGGAACACCGGUGGCGAAGGCGGGUCUCUGGGCAACAACUGACGCUGAGGAGCGAAAGCGUGGGGAGCGAACAGG